UCAGCAUAUAACAACUAAAAUCAUGACAAUCAUACAAAGAUAUUCGCAAGCCCGAGGGAAAGUUGAAGAAAAGUUCACGAGUCCUAUACAUGUAAGCAUUAAGUACAAGUAAACUCACACAACUCCUCGCAGAAAAUAUUAACAAUUAAUAUUAGUGAUCUACAUAUAAGCAUGCAAAAUAUCACUAACACUAAAAGUAUCACAACUAUAUGCAGUUAGACAUGAAAUAAGAUAUCAAUUAAUAAAUCAUCAAAUACCCAACACAAAUAGUUAUGCUUCAAAUAUAUACACUAAUAUAAAUGGAUUCAGCCUAGAGAGAAUCUAAGUAACUCCACAAAUACUAGUAUAUCAUGACUAAAUUCUAACUAGAUUCUAACCACAUACCAAUUACUGAUACAAG
rnacentral:lncRNA from 1 species